rnacentral:rRNA from 1 species
UACAGAGGUCCCAAGCGUUGUUCGGAUUCACUGGGCGUAAAGGGUGCGUAGGUGGUAGGGUAAGUCUGGUGUGAAAUCUCCGAGCUCAACUCGGAAAUGGCAUUGGAUACUAUUCUGCUAGAGGAUUGGAGGGGGGACUGGAAUACUUGGUGUAGCAGUGAAAUGCGUAGAUAUCAAGUGGAACACCAGUGGCGAAGGCGAGUCCCUGGACAACUCCUGACACUGAGGCACGAAAGCUAGGGGAGCAAACAGG